AUUGAACGCUGGCGGCAGGCCUAACACAUGCAAGUCGAACGGUAACAGAAAGCAGCUUGCUGCUUUGCUGACGAGUGGCGGACGGGUGAGUAGUGUCUGGGAAACUGCCUGAUGGAGGGGGAUAACUACUGGAAACGGUAGCUAAUACCGCAUAACGUCGCAAGACCAAAGAGGGGGACCUUCGGGCCUCUUGCCAUCGGAUGUGCCCAGAUGGGAUUAGCUAGUAGGUGGGGUAACGGCUCACCUAGGCGACGAUCCCUAGCUGGUCUGAGAGGAUGACCAGCCACACUGGAACUGAGACACGGUCCAGACUCCUACGGGAGGCAGCAGUGGGGAAUAUUGCACAAUGGGCGCAAGCCUGAUGCAGCCAUGCCGCGUGUAUGAAGAAGGCCUUCGGGUUGUAAAGUACUUUCAGCGGGGAGGAAGGGAGUAAAGUUAAUACCUUUGCUCAUUGACGUUACCCGCAGAAGAAGCACCGGCUAACUCCGUG
rnacentral:rRNA from 1 species